UUUUUCACAUUCCAUCCCAUAUGUGCUGCUCUGCCCCUGCAUUUCAAUGCAAUUUUUGGCCGAAGCUUAAACAUCUGGCAAGAAUUUCCCAUAAUACCAUAACAUAUGAAGCUGCUGCAGUACAAAUGAGCAGUCGAUGCUAUCUUUGUACGCCGACUGCUGGGUUUAUAGUACCUUCGGAGCCCAUAUUCUACAUUAUUCAGCGACAUCAUGCAUCUUCUAAAGCUGACUGUACUCGUAGGCCUGAUCGUGGCAGGUAACAGUGUCACUCUUCAGGAACUAAGGAAUGCACUGCAUACAUGUGGGCAAAAAUUAUGGACACGUUAUCGUUCUUCGAAGCGACCACCCACAACCAGACGCAUAGAUGUAUAUACGCUGAAGUACGAGGUGUCAGUACAGAUGAAUACAUAUAUUUACAGCAUUAUGAGGUAGGCUCUUCAUGGAUGAGCAACCACUACUACGCUAAGUUGAUGGACAAAACAAAAGGAAGCGCAGGACCCAUAAUGCGAGUCAGCGUUCAGCGAGGAGCGCCUGGGGUUGAUUACACCCUGCGGUUCUGGCAUCAAACAGAACACUGCGCUAUUUUUACUCGGACAUUCAAUGGCCAAAUGCACUGCGAGAUGCACGUGUGGGAAGAUCACGUUGGAAGAGGCGUGCCACAAUGCCAAUUGGCAUACAAGACGCAUUGUUGCGGAAAACCAGAAUACGCAAUCUAUACACGUAACUGCCAUCCCUGAUCGCCCAACAGCAUAUGUGCGUUUAUCAGUGGUAAACUUGUACGUGCACAAAUAGACCAGUUUGUGCUGGCGUUGAUAUUUUUCGAAAACUGAUUUUGAAUAGUUUAUUAGAACCCGUACUUCAGCCUGCAAACAGUACUUCCACAGCCCGUAAUUAAUUGCUGUGAACGAACCCACAAAGCAUUCAUUACACAUGUUAAAACACCAAAAACAAAAUUUGUAUACGCUCAAGUAAUCUAGAUUCA